UGGGGAAUUUUGGACAAUGGGCGAAAGCCUGAUCCAGCAAUGCCGCGUGCAGGAUGAAGGCCUUCGGGUUGUAAACUGCUUUUGUACGGAACGAAAAGGCUCUGGCUAAUACCUGGGGCACGUGACGGUACCGUAAGAAUAAGCACCGGCUAACUCCGUGCCAGCAGCCGCGGUAAUACGGAGGGUGCAAGCGUUAAUCGGAAUUACUGGGCGUAAAGCGUGCGCAGGCGGUUUGUUAAGUCUGCUGUGAAAUCCCCGAGCUCAACUUGGGAAUUGCAGUGGAUACUGGCAAGCUGGAGUACGGUAGAGGAAGGUGGAAUUCCCGGUGUAGCAGUGAAAUGCGUAGAGAUCGGGAGGAACACCAGUGGCGAAGGCGGCCUUCUGGACCAGUACUGACGCUCAUGCACGAAAGCGUGGGGAGCAAACA
rnacentral:rRNA from 1 species